AAGCAGGAGCAGGAGGCACGGCAGCAGGCGAAGCGAGCGCGGGAGCAGGGACGGAGGUCAGGGACACGCCACAGGGAAUGAAGGAAUUGUUCGAGCAGAGUUCAGAGGGUAGAGGGAAGCUGGAGCAGCUGUGAUUUUGUCGUUAUCAGUUGAACUGCAUUAAGUACUACCUUUUAUUUGUGCCCUGAUGGUAGCUUAUAGCUGCUGGUAACAUCCUAAAUUUGAGAGUACUAUAUCCAUAUCGCGUACUAAUCUAAUGGUGUUCUCUA